rnacentral:rRNA from 1 species
AUGUCGUUCAUGCACGGCCACUACUGGGCGGGCAUGAAGGCCAACUGGAUCGUCCUCAUCCACCAAUCUAGUAGUCUGUGGCAUCUCAUGGAUAUCUACACCCAGCGAGAGAUCACCCUUCCAUCUUUGGAUACCACCGCCAUCGAGCCUCACAGCCCGCCGGACACUCCUGCCUACUAUGCACGAGACACCAGACGCAAAUGCGUUGGCCUUCAUGACUCCGGAGCCUGGAAUCAUACCGGUCGAUGGUCAAAGAAAGAUUGGCCGGUGCUGCCGGCUAGCGACAAGUUUGAUCCCACGGAUCAGGAGCUGAUCGAGCACCUUGAGGCCAAAGUGAGUGCUGACAGCGCGAGAUCUCACCCUCUCAUCGAUUUGUUCAUACCAACCAUCGACAGCGAGCACGCUAUAUGCUACACCCAUGUUGGGAAACUUCCAGGUAUCACAGUGAGUGGCCUAAGCAAGCAUUUCUUCCAGCGCAAUUCCAGGGCGUUCAAAAGGGGCACGUGGACACGUCGCAAGAUACAGUCGGAGUGCGGCAUGCUUGCGAUGUGGCACAACACCGGCAAUACCUUGCCGGUGAUGGUCAACGGCCGACAGACGGGCAGCAAAAAGGUUCUGGUGCUGCACACCAAUAAGAAUUUCGACCAGCAGAGGACCAACUGGGUGAUGCACCAGUACCACCUCGGGGACCUGGAGCAAGAGAAGGAGCGGGAGCUGGUCCUCUGCAAGAUUUUCUACCAGACGAACACUAGGGCCAGGAGUCGAUCAAGUUUCAACUGGGCUGUAGACUGUCCAGGCUUGGUUUUGUUUUUAACAGGCCCAGCCCAUGACGACAACGGGGCACAAAGAUCCAGCAGGUAUCUACUGGCCUCUGGCCCGCCAGCGUGA